rnacentral:rRNA from 1 species
CCUAGUAGCGGCGAGCGAAGCGGGAAGAGCUCAAAUUUAUAAUCUGGCACCUUCGGUGUCCGAGUUGUAAUCUCUAGAAAUGUUUUCCGCGUUGGACCGCACACAAGUCUGUUGGAAUACAGCGGCAUAGUGGUGAGACCCCCGUAUAUGGUGCGGACGCCCAGCGCUUUGUGAUACAUUUUCGAAGAGUCGAGUUGUUUGGGAAUGCAGCUCAAAUUGGGUGGUAAAUUCCAUCUAAAGCUAAAUAUUGGCGAGAGACCGAUAGCGAACAAGUACCGUGAGGGAAAGAUGAAAAGCACUUUGGAAAGAGAGUUAACAGUACGUGAAAUUGUUGGAAGGGAAACGCUUGAAGUCAGACUUGCUUGCCGAGCAAUCGGUUUGCAGGCCAGCAUCAGUUUUCCGGGAUGGAUAAUGGUAGAGAGAAGGUAGCAGUUUCGGCUGUGUUAUAGCUCUCUGCUGGAUACAUCUUGGGGGACUGAGGAACGCAGUGUGCCUUUGGCGGGGGUUUCGACCUCUUCACACUUAGGAUGCUGGUGGAAUGGCUUUAAACGACCCGUCUUGAAACACGGACCAAGGAGUCUAACAUGCUUGCGAGUAUUUGGGUGUCAAACCCGGAUGCGUAAUGAAAGUGAAUGGAGGUGGGAACCGCAAGGUGCACCAUCGACCGAUCUGGAUUUUUAAUGAUGGAUUUGAGUAAGAGCACGUAUGUUGGGACCCGAAAGAUGGUGAACUAUGCCUGAAUAGGGCG